rnacentral:rRNA from 1 species
GACGAACGCUGGCGGCCGUGCCUAAUACAUGCAAGUCCGAACGCUUCUUUCCUCCCGAGUGCUUGCACUCAAUUGGAAAAGAGGAGUGGCGGACGGGUGAGUAACACCGUGGGUAACCCUACCCCAUCAGAGGGGGAUAACCACUUGGAAACCAGGUGCUAAUACCGUAUAACAGUUUAUGCCGCAUGGCAUAAGAGUGAAAGGCGCUUUUCGGGUGUCGCUGAUGGAUGGACCCGCGGUGCAUUAGCUAGUUGGUGAGGUAAACGGCUCACCAAGGCCACGAUGCAUAGCCGACCUGAGAGGGUGAUCGGCCACACUGGGAUUGAGACACGGCCCCAGACUCCUACGGGAGGCAGCAGUAGGGAAUCUUUCGGCAAUGGACGAAAGUCUGACCGAGCAACGCCGCGUGAGUGAAGAAGGUUUUCGGAUUCG